rnacentral:sRNA from 1 species
UCUGGAGUCCGCGAGACCGCUCGGUCGGCCGCAACGAGACGAAAGUCAGAUGAGGGACGUGAUAACGGGAUGCCACAAAGGGGCAUCGUUAUACCGGAAACCGUUACAGACCUGAGACGAAAGACAAAAGAGACAAGGACUGUUUAUGGUUCUGUACUGCUUCUGAGAUCUAUUGAUAAGGGGGAUUAGCUCAGCUGGCUAGAGCACCUGCUUUGCAAGCAGGGGGUCAACGGUUCGAAUCCGUUAUUCUCCACACGAGAGAACAUUGACAUACUGGAAGAAAGGAAACGUCAACUGCAAGACGGAAGUCUUCGGAAGACGUGACCGAGAAAAUAAACGAGUAAAUCAGAAACGAGCGAUCGGGCGACCUAAAAAAAGGUAAGUUCGAACGACGAAGCGACGGACGGCGGAGUUGAAAGAUUCCGCAGGUCAAGCGACAGAACAAGGAAAGGAGAAAAGGGCACAUGAAGGAUGCCUAGGCUCUUGGAGACGAAGAAGGACGUGACAAGCUGCGAAAAGCCGCGGAGAGGGGCAAAUACCCAUUGACCCGCGGAUGUC